UACGUAAGGGGCAAACGUUAUCCGGAAUUAUUGGGCGUAAAGCGUCUGUAGGUGGCGUAAUAAGUCUGUCAUUAAAUACCGGUGCUUAACAUCGGUGCUGUGAUAGAAACUGUUGCUGCUAGAGGAUGGGAGAGGCAUAUGGAAUUGUGCAAGUAGGGGUAAAAUCCGUAGAUAUGCACAGGAACACCAAAAGCGAAGGCAGUAUGCUGGACCAUUCCUGACACUAAAGGACGAAAGCGUGGGGAGCGAAACGG
rnacentral:rRNA from 1 species